rnacentral:sRNA from 1 species
GCUAUCACGAUAAAUCUACAGCAAUAUAUGGUUAGGUCAUGUUUGUUUGCUUACCUGACAUAUGUUCUUUUAAAUCUCCAUUGGCCAUGUAUUCAUAGAUAAGAGCCAUGUUCUCUCCUUCGUCGCAAUACCCAACAAGACCAACCA